rnacentral:rRNA from 1 species
AAACAUCGUUCUUUGAAUAGUUUACAUAAAGAAUCGAGCCUGCCCAGUGAUAAAAUUAAACGGCCGCGGUAUCCUAACCGUGCAAAGGUAGCAUAAUCAUUUGCCUUAUAAUUAAGGGCUAGUAUGAAUGGUUUGACAAGAGUAAAACUGUCUCUUUCAAAUUUUGUAAAAUUUGGUUUUUAGGUGAAAAAACCUAAAUUAAAUUGAAAGACAAGAAGACCCUAUCGAGCUUUAAAAAAUUUUAUUGAGAUUAAUAACAUUCAAUUAAAUAUUUUGGUUGGGGUGACCGAGGAACAUUUAAAACUUCUUUAACAAAUAAAAAUCAAUAAAUUUUGAUCCAAAAAGUUUGAUUAAUAGAAUUAGUUACCGUAGGGAUAACAGCAUAAUUUUUUUUAAGAGCUCUUAUCGAAAAAAAAGUUUGUGACCUCGAUGUUGGACUAGAAUAUCCUAAAGGUGUAGAAGCCUUUAAUGGUUGGUCUGUUCGACCAUUAAUAUUCUACAUGAUCUGA